GGGGCGCGGCGGGACCCGGGCGAUCCUGGAGGGGAGGGUGUGUUGAGUGCUCCUGAGCCCCUGAAAAUACCGACUGCGAGAGGCGCUCAAACGGUGAGCCCAAAGGACGCGUGGAUUAAAGACCAUCGUUUGAAAAGAAAUGAGAGUCGUUUCCUGCCGAGGAAGAAAUAGGGACCGAGAAACCGGAGACGAAAAAGGCGGCUGCGAGGGCAGAGCUUGAGCAGGGGGUGCAGGCUGUGCUCCCAGCUCUUAGGUCGCCUACUCCGCACCGUUAAGUCGCCCCACCUUCCCGUUCCUCCGAAAGCCAGGACUUUGGCCUUGGGCCUGGUCCUCAGGGACAAAGUGCUGCGACAGAGGAUGUCACCACCAAGACCUUUACUGCUGGGGAAACUCGAGACGGUUCAAAGUCAUUUGGGUUCGUGCUACGUCCAGGCUGUGUUUUUGCUCUAAACAGAACAGGUUGGACUUGCCAGACCUUGGUGAGGAGGAGUUAGGCAGAUGUACACAGCCGGAAUUAGCUGUAUCAGGGACCAAGAGUUGUCAUAUUUCUGUAGCAAAAGCUGCUAAGCAACUUCCUUUUGCUUUCCAUCUUAAUCAUCAUCAGGUGCAGCACUGUUAUGGCAAAAAGCCUCCCUAAGAGCCGCGGUUCGUAGCUGGCCUGGAUUCCCUGAUGAACAUAAACAAUGUCAUAGAAUAUUGACGUCAGAUGAGGUCUCUGACAGAAUGGAAGAAGAAAAUAAGACUGAUCAUGCGUAAACAGAUAAAAAAAAAAAAGACACUGUGCAACCACAAAAGGAUGACCAAACAGCUUUCCGCAGCUAACACGAGUGACUACUGCUUUUCCACUGACAACUCUAGCCCUGCUCCAUUCCUCCUACUUUCUAGAUUAAGAUAAUCAUUGAAUUGCCCCUGCUUUCUAACAGUAUCCAAUCCAGAACAGACCCGUUUCCUUGGACCCUCCCCAAAAUCACCUAACACCAGUCCAAAUACUAUAAUAAGCCGGCUUUAGCACUCCUUUCAUGAGACGCCCACCCCAUGGUUCCCCAUGGUGUGAGGUCUUCCACUCUGCAGCAACUAAUAACCCUUCAUUGCCAGACAAUAAGUAUGUCCUUGGUAGUCUGACCGGUGGGCACUGCCAGUAUGAAUAAACUUUGAUAUUUAUACAUGAAUUAUACGUAACUCAUACACCAAAAAAAAAACAACACCCUAGAGCCUAUACUUUAAUGAGAAAUCAAACAUUGUGAAUGGUAAAAUGGGACGAGAUCUUGGUGUAUAAAAAGCUUAUAUGCUAAGUGCAAUGUGGGAUUCCGGAUGGGCUCCUAGAACAGUACAAGGACAUUAAUGAUAAAAUCAGGUUAAAGUCUGUAAUUUAAGAGUAUUGUGCCAAUGUGAAUUUCUCAGAUUUGACAAAUGUGCCAUAGUUAUAUCAGACAUUAAGUAUAGGAGAAAUGGUGAAGAGUAUACAGGAGCUCCCUAUCUUUGCAACUAUUCUGUAGAUUUAAAAUUACUCCAAAAUAAACAUUUUUUAAAAAA
rnacentral:lncRNA from 1 species